rnacentral:tRNA from 2 species
CGAGGCGUAGCGCAGUUGGUAGCGCGUUGCGUUCGGGACGCAAAGGUCGUGGGUUCGAAUCCCGUCGCCUCGACCA